UAUUAGUUAAGUAAGAAAGGGCGCACGGUGGAUGCCUUGGCACUAGGAGCCGAUGAAGGACGGGACGAACACCGAUAUGUUUCGGGGAGCUGUACGUAAGCGUUGAUCCGGAAAUUUCCGAAUGGGGGAACCCAUCACGUGUAAUGACGUGAGAUCAUUAACUGAAUCAAUAGGUUAAUGAAGGCAGACCUGGGGAACUGAAACAUCUAAGUACCCAGAGGAAGAGAAAGCAAAUGCGAUUUCCUGAGUAGCGGCGAGCGAAACGGAAUCAGCCCAAACCAAGAAGCUUGCUUCUUGGGGUUGUAGGACACAUCAUACGGAGUUACAAAAGUAGAAUUUACACGAAGCGACCUGGAAAGGUCCGCCACAGAAGGUAACAGCCCUGUAGUGAAAAGAUUUUACCCUCCGAUGUGGAUCCUGAGUACGGCGGAACACGUGAAAUUCCGUCGGAAUCCGGGAGGACCAUCUCCCAAGGCUAAAUACUCCCUAGUGACCGAUAGUGAACCAGUACCGUGAGGGAAAGGUGAAAAGCACCCCGGAAGGGGAGUGAAAGAGAUCCUGAAACCGUGCGCUUACAAUUAGUCGAAGCCCGUUAAUGGGUGACGGCGUACCUUUUGUAGAAUGGACCGGCGAGUUACGAUCCCCUGCAAGGUUAAGCCAGAAAAGGCGGAGCCGCAGCGAAAGCGAGUCUGAAUAGGGCGAAUAGAGUAGGUGGUCGUAGACCCGAAACCGUGUGAUCUACCCAUGUCCAGGGUGAAGGUCAGGUAACACUGACUGGAGGCCCGAACCCACGUAUGUUGAAAAAUGCGGGGAUGAGGUGUGGGUAGGGGUGAAAUGCCAAUCGAACACGGAGAUAGCUGGUUCUCUCCGAAAUAGUUUUAGGACUAGCCUCAAGGCAUGUAUCUUGGAGGUAGAGCACUGAUUGGACUAGGGGCCCCUACCGGGUUACCGAAUUCAGUCAAACUCCGAAUGCCAAUGAUAUAACCUUGGGAGUCAGACUGUGGGUGAUAAGGUUCAUAGUCGAGAGGGAAACAACCCAGACCGUCAGCUAAGGUCCCAAAGUAUACGUUAAGUGGAAAAGGAUGUGGCGUUGCACAGACAACCAGGAUGUUGGCUUAGAAGCAGCCACCAUUUAAAGAGUGCGUAAUAGCUCACUGGUCGAGUGACGCUGCGCCGAAAAUGUACCGGGGCUAAACGUAUCACCGAAGCUACGGAUUGAUCUUUGAUCAAUGGUAGGAGAGCGUUCUAAGUGCUGUAAAGUCAGACCGUGAGGACUGGUGGAGCGCUUAGAAGUGAGAAUGCCGGUAUGAGUAGCGAAAAAGAAGUGAGAAUCUUCUUCACCGAAUGCCUAAGGUUUCCUGAGGAAGGCUCGUCCUCUCAGGGUUAGUCAGGACCUAAGUCGAGGCCGAAAGGCGUAGACGAUGGACAACAGGUUGAUAUUCCUGUACCACCUCCUUUUUGUUUGAGCGAUGGGGGAACGCAGUAGGAUAGGGAAAGCGCACGGAUGGAAGUGUGCGUCCAAGCAAUGAGUGAGUCAGAUAGGCAAAUCCGUCUGGCAAUCACAGGUUGUGAUGGGGAGAGAAAUAAAGUAUCGAAGUUCCCGACUUCACACUGCCAAGAAAAGCCUCUAGUGAGAAAAGUGGUGCCUGUACCGCAAACCGACACAGGUAGGCGAGAUGAGAAUUCUAAGGUGAGCGGGAGAACUCUCGUUAAGGAACUCGGCAAAAUGACCCCGUAACUUCGGGAGAAGGGGUGCUUCUCAUUCUGAGAAGCCGCAGUGAAAGGGCCCAAGCGACUGUUUAGCAAAAACACAGGUCUCUGCGAAGCCGCAAGGCGAAGUAUAGGGGCUGACACCUGCCCGGUGCUGGAAGGUUAAGGGGACAUGUUAGCUUUAUAGCGAAGCAUUGAACCGAAGCCCCAGUAAACGGCGGCCGUAACUAUAACGGUCCUAAGGUAGCGAAAUUCCUUGUCGGGUAAGUUCCGACCCGCACGAAAGGUGCAACGACUUGGGCACUGUCUCAACGAGAGACCCGGUGAAAUUAAACUAUGCGUGAAAAUGCGCAUUACCCGCGACAGGACGGAAAGACCCCGUGGAGCUUUACUGUAGCCUGAUAUUGAAUAUUGGCACAAUUUGUACAGGAUAGGUGGGAGCCUUAGAAGCGUGAGCGCUAGCUUACGUGGAGGCGCUGGUGGGAUACCACCCUGAUUGUGUUGAUCUUCUAACCCAGGACCGUGAUCCGGUUCGGAGACAGUGUCAGGCGGGCAGUUUGACUGGGGCGGUCGCCUCCCAAAGAGUAACGGAGGCGCCCAAAGGUUCCCUCAGAAUGGUUGGAAAUCAUUCGUAGAGUGCAAAGGCAUAAGGGAGCUUGACUGCGAGACCUACAAGUCGAGCAGGGACGAAAGUCGGGCUUAGUGAUCCGGCGGUACCGAAUGGAAGGGCCGUCGCUCAACGGAUAAAAGCUACCCCGGGGAUAACAGGCUUAUCUCCCCCAAGAGUCCACAUCGACGGGGAGGUUUGGCACCUCGAUGUCGGCUCAUCGCAUCCUGGGGCUGUAGUCGGUCCCAAGGGUUGGGCUGUUCGCCCAUUAAAGCGGUACGCGAGCUGGGUUCAGAACGUCGUGAGACAGUUCGGUCCCUAUCCGUCGUGGGCGUUGGAAGUUUGAGAGGAGCUGUCCUUAGUACGAGAGGACCGGGAUGGACAUACCGCUGGUGCACCAGUUGUUCCGCCAGGAGCAUAGCUGGGUAGCUACGUGUGGAAGGGAUAAGUGCUGAAAGCAUCUAAGCAUGAAGCCCCCCUCAAGAUGAGACUUCCCAUCUGUAAAGAGUAAGAUCCCUCAGAGACGAUGAGGUAGAUAGGUUCGAGGUGGAAGCAUGGUGACAUGUGCAGCUGACGAAUACUAAUCGAUCGAGGACUUAACUAA
rnacentral:rRNA from 1 species